CCUACGGGAGGCAGCAGUGAGGAAUAUUGGUCAAUGGCCGAAAGUCUGAACCAGCCAAGCCGCGUGCGGGAAGAAUGCCCUAUGGAUUGUAAACUGCUUUUGUCAGGGAGCAAACUCAGCUACGUGUGUCUGUCUGAGAGUACCUUAAGAAUAAGCAUCGGCUAACUCCGUGCCAGCAGCCGCGGUAAUACGGAGGAUUCAAGCGUUAUCCGGAUUUAUUGGGUUUAAAGGGUGCGUAGGCGGGGGGACAAGUUAGGGGUGAAAUCCCGGGGGCCAACUUCGGAACUGCCUUUGAUACGGUUGGGCUGGAGUGUGGGUGAGGUAGGCGGAAUGUAUGGUGUAGCGGUGAAAUGCAUAGAGAUCACACAGAACACCGAUUGCGAAGGCAGCUUACCAGGGUACGACUGACGCUGAGGCACGAAAGCGUGGGGAGCAAACAGGAUUAGAUACCCCAGUAGUC
rnacentral:rRNA from 1 species